UUUCCGUAGGUGAACCUGCGGAAGGAUCAUAACAGAGUUCAUGCCCUCACGGGUGGAUCUCCCACCCUUGAAUAUUUAUACCUUAGUUGCUUUGGCAGGCCGUGGAAACACCAUGGGCUCCGGCUUAUGCGUGCCUGCCAGAGGAAACAAACUCUGUUUUUAGUGAUGCCUGAGUACUAUAUAAUAGUUAAAACUUUCAACAACGGAUCUCUUGGUUCUG
rnacentral:misc_RNA from 1 species